GAUGAACGCUGGCGGCGUGCUUAAUACAUGUAAGUCGAACGAGGAGCUUUGCUUCGGUAAAACUCCGAGUGGCGAACGGGUGAGUAACGCGUUGGUGACCUGCCCCGAAGUGGGGGAUAACGGCUCGAAAGGGCUGCUAAUACCCCAUGUGGUCGUAGAGGUUAGAGACUCUACGUCUAAAGGCGUAAUUCGCUUCGGGAUGGGCCUGCGUCCCAUCAGCUAGUUGGUAGGGUAAUGGCCUACCAAGGCUUCGACGGGUAGCCGGCUUGAGAGAGCGAUCGGCCACAAGGGGACUGAGACACGGCCCCUACUCCUACGGGUGGCUG
rnacentral:rRNA from 1 species